rnacentral:rRNA from 1 species
CAAUAGCGUAUAUUAAAGUUGUUGCGGUUAAAAGCUCGUAGUUGGAUUUCUGCGGGGGAGCGAACGGUCUACCUUAUGGGUAAGUAUCUGUCAGGCCCUUGCAUCCUCACAAAGAACGUCGCUGCGCUUUAUUGCGUGGUACGGAAUUUGUGACUUUUACUUUGAGGAAAUUAGAGUGUUCAAAGCAGGCGCUUCGCCUGAAUAAUGUUGCAUGGAAUAAUGGAAUAGGACCUCGGUUCUAUUUUGUUGGUUUUCGGAACUUGAGGUAAUGAUUAAGAGGGACAGACGGGGGGCAUUCGUAUGAUGGUGUUAGAGGUGAAAUUCUUGGAUCGCCGUCAGACGAACUACUGCGAAAGCAUUUGCCAAGAAUGUUUUCAUUAAUCAAGAACGAAAGUCAGAGGUUCGAAGACGAUCAGAU